rnacentral:rRNA from 1 species
UACGUAGGGGGCAAGCGUUGUCCGGAAUCAUUGGGCGUAAAGCGCGUGUAGGCGGCCCGGUAAGUCCGCUGUGAAAGUCGGGGGCUCAACCCUCGGAAGCCGGUGGAUACUGUCGGGCUCGAGUACGGAAGAGGCGAGUGGAAUUCCUGGUGUAGCGGUGAAAUGCGCAGAUAUCAGGAGGAACACCUAUUGCGAAGGCAGCUCGCUGGGACGUUACUGACGCUGAGACGCGAAAGCGUGGGGAGCAAACAGG